rnacentral:rRNA from 1 species
CACGUAGGGGGCAAGCGUUGUCCGGAAUCAUUGGGCGUAAAGAGCUCGUAGGCGGCUCAGUAAGUCGGGUGUGAAAUCCCCGGGCUCAACCUGGGAACUGCAUCUGUGACUGCAUCGCUGGAGUGCGGCAGAGGGGGAUGGAAUUCCGCGUGUAGCAGUGAAAUGCGUAGAUAUGCGGAGGAACACCGAUGGCGAAGACAAUCCCCUGGGCCUGCACUGACGCUCAUGCACGAAAGCGUGGGGAGCAAACAGG